rnacentral:rRNA from 1 species
AUGGAGCCGACCUUGAAAUACCACCCUUUAAUGUUUGAUGUUCUAACGUUGACCCGUAAUCCGGGUUGCGGACAGUGUCUGGUGGGUAGUUUGACUGGGGCGGUCUCCUCCUAAAGAGUAACGGAGGAGCACGAAGGUUGGCUAAUCCUGGUCGGACAUCAGGAGGUUAGUGCAAUGGCAUAAGCCAGCUUGACUGCGAGCGUGACGGCGCGAGCAGGUGCGAAAGCAGGUCAUAGUGAUCCGGUGGUUCUGAAUGGAAGGGCCAUCGCUCAACGGAUAAAAGGUACUCCGGGGAUAACAGGCUGAUACCGCCCAAGAGUUCAUAUCGACGGCGGUGUUUGGCACCUCGAUGUCGGCUCAUCACAUCCUGGGGCUGAAGUAGGUCCCAAGGGUAUGGCUGUUCGCCAUUUAAAGUGGUACGCGAGCUGGGUUUAGAACGUCGUGAGACAGUUCGGUCCCUAUCUGCCGUGGGCGCUGGAGAACUGAGGGGGGCUGCUCCUAGUACGAGAGGACCGGAGUGGACGCAUCACUGGUGUUCGGGUUGUCAUGCCAAUGGCACUGCCCGGUAGCUAAAUGCGGAAGAGAUAAGUGCUGAAAGCAUCU